AACUUGGUAGCAGGAUACAAGGUGAGCCCUUCUGGGGACAAGCCUUAAAGCAAUCAGGCAUUACCCACGUGUGUAAACGGAGAAAGAAGUCAUUCCACACAGAUGCCAGCUCAGCGGCUUGGGGUGAGAAAUGCCAAGUCGGGGCAUUCUAGGUCGUCUGAAGUUCACAGAACAUAAAGUUCAAGGCAUGGACGGCCAUUUGUGGGGCUGGACAGAGGAGCAUGGGGUAUGUCAGGAAAGUUCGUGCUGCUAGGCAGAGGAACUGCAGCUUGUUGGCAGGUGAAGGGAGCCUGUUUAGCUGUGUCCAGCAACAACUUACGUGGUCCUGCUUGUGUUCCAGGUGAAGCGUCUGGCCGCCGAGCAGAGGAAUCAAGACCUGCUCAUUCUUUCCUCGGGGGAUCCAUCCAGCAAUGACAUCAUCUCAUGCUGCCACAAGGACCCCAAGUCUGGGCUGCUGGGGACCAGCCACGCUCCCCACUGCUCAUUCCUUCAUCCUAGAGACAUUCUGACUCUCCUCCGACUGCGCUGUGCACAGGUGUGACAAGCUCUUUUACAUCUCAGUCUGCACAACUUCAGGCACUUAGCAGAUUGAUAUGCAUCCAACAAAUAUUGAUUGAAUAUCUGCUAAAUACCCAGUAAUGUUUCAUGAGUGAUUGGGUGAAUAAAGGAAUGCUGGUUCCUUCUGGCCAUAUUAACUCCUGCACAAUACUAAGAAAAAUAAAUUGCACUAGCUGUGGAAUAAUGUGAAUCCCAAUGUCAUCUAUUGAAAUAUUACCUGACUAUUAAGAGGUAUUUAUUUUUGUAUCUUUUCUAGCAAAGUAAAUAAAAUUCUUAAUACAGCAUAUCCCCUUAUUCACGGGGGGUAUGUUCCAAGACCCCCGGUGGAUGCCUGAAACUAUGGAUAAUACCAGAUCC
rnacentral:lncRNA from 1 species